rnacentral:lncRNA from 10 species
CUUUUGUGCAGAGAAGACUGAGAAUUCAGCCCUAGAGAAUUCAGCUCUGGUUGUGAGUGCCUCUUUUCCAGGGCAGAGACUUCUGGAAAAGCAGAUGGAGCCUUGUGGAAUGGGGCUCUCUGCCUCAUCUGGGGAGUGACUCUCGAUUCCCCUCACCUGUCCCUCCCAUCACACCUGGGCUUCUUUGCGGUGACAGAAAGGGCCAGAGGCUGUUGACUUUCCCGUUACCAGUGAAAGCUAGCAUCAGUUAGUAGCCACUUCCCAUCGAUUGGCAGGAAAGCAGCUGCCAGACCCGGCAAAGUCACACGAGGACGCAGUGACCAAAAUGUAUUGGAUACUCAGCUAUGGGAGAUCCCACUGAGCGAGAGUGGCUAAAGGUAGACCUUGACCUGGGAAUAGCUGCCUUUUGAAGCAGGAACAGCUCCAGAGGCAGCUGCAUCAAGCAGUCCUGCCUGGUGAACAUCAGAGUAAUGAACGUCACUGCUGUGCUGCCUGACACCCUCAUGUUCUCCAAGCUAUAUGCCUGGACUCCUUGGCUUUGACUGCUUUUUAGCCACUCACUGGCUAUGGACAUAUCCUUCCUCCUUAUGCUUAACCUCUCUGUGCCUCAGUUUCCUCAUCUACAACGGUGAUAACAACAGUACCAAUUUUAUAGCAUCGUUGUGAGAAAUGAAGGAAUUGAGGCCUUAGGGAGUCGUGUGUACAGCCUCAUCACACAAGGAGGGUCAUAGCAGAACUGACCUGAGACCACCAGGGGUCUCUACACCUGAGCCCCCAUCCUUUCCACUAGACCAUCCUUUCUACUAGACUCCAUCUGUUUUCCACAGGGGACGACUUUGCCCACCAGGCCAUGUGGCAACAUCUGAAAAUAUUUUUGGUUGUCACAACUGAAUAGGCGGUGCUGCUGGCAUCUGGUGAGAGAGGCCAGGGCUGCAGCUGCACACCCUCCAACGCACAGGACAGUACCCCAUGACAAGGAAUUCACCUGCCUAAAUGUCAGUAGUGCUGAGAUUGAGAAACCCUACUUUAGAUGGAUCUUCUUGCCACCCAGAAAGGACUCAAGGACAACUUUUAAGAAGAGAGUGCUGAGUUGGAGCCCUGCCAUGCUUCAGCAACCACCUUCCCCUGUUGAGAACCACUGUCCUGGAGCAAUUUCCCCCAAACUUCUGUGAGGACAGGAAUCAUCAAGUCACCCAUUAGAGCUGUAGUUUUCUUCAUCCCUUCUGCUGGAGAUCCUGAUCCAGUCUUUUAAAAAAAAUUUCUAAAAAUAUUUUUAAGAAAAAAAAUUUGCAGUUUGAGUGUCUCAGGUGGUUUUUAUUACCAAGAAAGUCUGGAAACUACCUUAAACAGUUUCAACAUGCACGUACCACUUGGAUGGGGCUGGUCUUCAGUUGACAUUGCUCAUGGUUUAAGAGGGUUACCUCCUUUCUUUCCCUCACAAUGAUGUAAAGCUUGAUGGCUGACAUGACAAAACAUGUUAAAUUAAUUAGCACGUGGAUGACUCAGAGGUCCCACCCUCCUUGGAGGUAUGUUUUUGAACAGAGGAGCUUCCUUCCAGCCUGCUGAUGAUGGACAGUAAGAGGAGAUGAAGGAGCACUGACCAGUGCUCAGAAGACCUGGACUGGGGUCUUAGCUAAUGAUGUUUCCCUGGACAAGCAUCUUCAGUGUCCUGAGCCUCAGUUUUCUCAUCUGCAAAUCAGGCCUACCAGGGGAUGUCCUAUCUUUCAGGGCAGCCAUGAGGAGUAAGGAGAUGAUGCCACACCUUCUGGCUGUGCAUCAGAAUCAUCUGUGGGCCUUUUUAAAACUACAAACACCCAGGUCACAUCCAAGACUACUCAUUCAUUCUUAGCGAUAAGGUCCAUAUUUAAAAAGUAGUGCUCCUUUAUGAAGUGUCACAGCAAGACUCAGGGCAAGUUUGGCACCACCUGGUUGAUCCCUGAAGGGUGGCUGUGCCCUUGUCCCAUCACUUCUCUGAUCCUCAGCCUGGGAGCAGGAGGAGGGCUGCAGGCUGGUGUGAUGCUGACCAGCAAGGUUCUUCCUUGCAGAAGGGGACAUUUCCUCAUGAUUAAUUUCAGACCAUACAUCUUUGGCAAGAGUUUCACAGAAACUUCUCAUCGCAUCUUAUCAGGCGGCACACGAUUCUGUUUUGUCUUGGAAUGAAGGAUGCUGACUUUGAUCACUUGCUUGCCGUAGUGUCUGCCAGCCGUCUCCACCAUCAAGCUACUCUUUUCUUCUUUCAGGGUGUGGCUGUGCUAGGAAAGAGACUUGGCCCACAGCCUCACAGUGAUUCAGAAGACGCUGGGUGAGGACCUCUGUGUCCCUGCUCCAAGGACCCUGAGAUGACCCAUCCCAGGACACUCAAUCCUGCCUGCAGAUGCUAGGCUCUGAGGAGAUGCCUGCUAUAGCACCAGCACAUUCUGCAGACAUGUUUUGAAAUGUGUUAAUAAAUAACUGGAGAACAGUAUCUAUACAAUUACCUAGAUUUGCCUGAACUUUACAGGGCAACUAAACAAACAGACAUACGUUCGCAGAAAGGCCACAGUACAGAAGACAAACCGAGGCUUGGUCACCCUGAGGAUCAGCAGCCGGAUCUUUUUCUGAAACAAAUUUCCUGCUAGAGAAUCCCUGAUCUCUGUGAUGCAGUAUUUCCCUAGUUUUUAUUUCUACUUCAACGAGGCACCUCAAUGUCAGUUUCCUUUGGGAAAAGAAAAUCAAAUGUCCCCACAGCUUUUGCCCAAUUGUGAAGGAAAAUUUCAGCAUUGAUUGUCUGUCUGGACUCUUGUGGGGAGGAGGCCAGUGGGCCUAGUAAGACCCUUAGCACACCUGGGCUGUCUAGCCUUAAGGAAACCAGACCUGCCAGGAAAGCAGAAAAGCUGUGAAGAGAUUUUUCUCUGCCUUCCUCGGGGGACAAUCUUCCAGAGCAACAAUGCACCAUGUAUUUACAGAAAACUUAUUAUGUUCAAGGUGCUGGGAGAAGCUAGUUGCAGAUACUUAGAGCAGUAAGGCUUUAAGUUAGACAUAAGGAAGGACUUCCAGCUAUUGGUAUUGAUAUAGUAGGACCCAAGCUUACUUCACAGCUUGCAUCAUCAGGGAAGGAUGAGAUCAUUCUUGAGAACAUUUUGAAUAAAGGCUUAGAGGGACUGAAUAUUGAACGAUCCUGUUAACAUUUCUCCCGGUCCUCCUCCUGCUUUCCAGGAUGAUACUGGUGUAUGAUUUUUACUUAAAGCCCUCCCCCAUCCCCACAGAGACACCUGGAGCCUGGCGGGCCUUGGCAUCAGUGGCUGUUGUCAUGGCGGGGAGAGCUGAGGUGACCACUGUGACUGCCCUGGGCACAAGGACCGUCGUUCUGUGAAUCCUCCCUAAGCCCGCUGGCGGGGCCCCUUUGCUGCCACUGCAAGUAAAGUUUCCCAGCUCAAGUAAAUUCUGGAGGGGAUUGACCUAAUUUCCAGAGUCUAAGGGGUGACAAAAAGCCCCAGUCAAAACUCCUGUAAGUGGGUGAUAAACAGUCUCUAUUAGAAAAAAUAAAUAACAUCUCCAAAGGAGAGCAGGCUUCCUAAGACCCCCUUGCCUUUCAGAGAGACAGCUGUCUCCUGGGAGGAGGACUCCCUGAGCCUCCCGCUUCAGCCGCUCCAGAGGAAAGGUUUGCCUUGCUGUCUCACUGCAGCGCUAGCUGCUCACCAUUUUCACCGACCGCCGCAGCCUCCUGAUGGACCCCACAGCAGGAAGAGGCUGUGGGAGAGGUCUCCACCCUUCAAGGUGGGGCUGACAGUGGUGCUUGGCCUUUAGAGUUGAAAUGUAUUGGUUCUCUGCCUUGGGAGGAACAAUCACUCUCUCUCUCUCUGUCUCUCUCUAUUUCUGUCUGUCUCUCUCUCAAACACACAUACACAUACACUGAGACAGCUAUCAUCAUACCUAAUUUACAUAUUAUGGAAACCGAGGCCCAGAGAGGUUAAAUAACUUGCGUGGUUUUGUCCAGCUAUUAAGUGGGCAAAGCUAGAAUUAGAAUUGAAGCCCAGUGACAGCUUUCAAAUCAAGUUCUUUCCCCUAUUCUGGAGCUGCAGCAACUUUAAUAAGCAUAAGAAGUACUUUGGGAUCUUGUUCAAAUGCAAGUUCUGCAGGUCUAGGGUGGGGUGGAGAUUCUGCAUUUGCAGUAAGUUCCCAAGUAGCAGGGUGUGCUACAAACACCUCAAAGCUGCAGACCCUGGGGAACAGUCCCCAUAGAAUAGGAGGCGGGAAUCAUUCUGGAAAAUAGGGAGACAUAAAUACCCAGACAAGCUUAGGUCUCCAAGGAGGCAGGGAGAUCAGGAGUGGGAGGAAAGGGCAGUCUGUCUCUCUUUCCUUAGAAGACUUCGUGGUUUGAACAUUGCCUUGGUUAGAUUUCCUGAUAUGGGUACAACUUGUGCUGAUCUCAGUGGGAAUCUGGAGCCAGAGAUGACCAGGAAUAGAGGGGGAUAACAUCUGCCAAGUUCCAUUCCUGGUUCAAAAUUCUAACUUGCCAGCUUGUUCAUUCAUCUAAUGACUCAGACCUGAUGGCAGAUUGAAUUUUCCAAAAAUGACUGCAACAAUAUCUUCCAUCCCACAUGUUAUUCUUACAGUGGGACUUUCCAUCUAGAGGUAGGACCUGUAUUUCUUCCCCAUGAAUCUGAGUGGAUGUGCAGUUAUAGUUGAAGUGAUGCUAUGGGACUUCAGAGGCUAGGUCAUAAAAGGCAAUACAUUAGGCCGAGCAUGAUGGCUCACACCUGUAAUCCCAACGCUUCGGGAGGCUGAGGCGGGUGGAUCACCUGAGGUUGGGAGUUCAAGACCAGCCUGACCAACCUGGAGAAACCCCGUCUCUACUAAAAAUACAGAAUUAGCUGGGCAUGGUGGCACAUGCCUGUAAUCCCAGCCACUCAGGAGACUGAGACAGGAGAAUCACUUGAACCUGGGAGGCGGAA